UACGUAGGGUCCGAGCGUUGUCCGGAAUUACUGGGCGUAAAGAGCUCGUAGGUGGUCUGUCGCGUUGUCCGUGAAAACUCACAGCUCAACUGUGGGCGUGCGGGCGAUACGGGCAGACUGGAGUACUGCAGGGGAGACUGGAAUUCCUGGUGUAGCGGUGGAAUGCGCAGAUAUCAGGAGGAACACCGGUGGCGAAGGCGGGUCUCUGGGCAGUAACUGACGCUGAGGAGCGAAAGCGUGGGGAGCGAACAGG
rnacentral:rRNA from 1 species